AUUGAACGCUGGCGGCAGGCCUAACACAUGCAAGUCGAACGCGUGGCGGACGGGUGAGUAAUGUCUGGGAAACUGCUUGAUGGAGGGGGAUACUACUGGAAACGGUAGCUAAUACCGCAUAUCCUGGGACGUGCCCAGAUGGAAUUAGUUAGUGGGGGGGGUAAAGGCUCACCUUGGCGACGAUCCCUAGCUGGACUGAGAGGCUGAACGGCCACACUGGAACUGAGACACGGUCCAGACUCCUACGGGAGGCAGCAGUGGGGAAUAUUGCACAAUGGGCGCAAGCCUGAUGCAGCCAUGCCGCGUGUGUGAUGAAGGCCUUCGGGUUGUAAAGUACUUUCAGCGGGGAGGCGUUACCCGCAGAAGAAGCACCGGCUAACUCCGUGCCAGCAGCCGCGGUAAUAC
rnacentral:rRNA from 1 species